GUGGCCUGUGAGGGUUGCUGGAGGUAUCAGAAGUGCGAAUGCUGACAUAAGUAACGAUAAAGCGGGUGAAAAGCCCGCUCGCCGGAAGACCAAGGGUUCCUGUCCAACGUUAAUCGGGGCAGGGUGAGUCGACCCCUAAGGCGAGGCCGAAAGGCGUAGUCGAUGGGAAACGGGUUAAUAUUCCCGUACUUGGUGUUACUGCGAAGGGGGGACGGAGAAGGCUAUGUUGGCCGGGCGACGGUUGUCCCGGUUUAAGCGUGUAGGUGUGUGUUCCAGGUAAAUCCGGUUCACUUUAACACUGAGGCGUGAUGACGAGGCACUACGGUGCUGAAGCAACAAAUGCCCUGCUUCCAGGAAAAGCCUCUAAGCAUCAGGUAACAUCAAAUCGUACCCCAAACCGACACAGGUGGUCAGGUAGAGAAUACCAAGGCGCUUGAGAGAACUCGGGUGAAGGAACUAGGCAAAAUGGUGCCGUAACU
rnacentral:rRNA from 1 species